rnacentral:snoRNA from 8 species
GUCCAGAAAACAAUGAUGUCAUAAUUUCCAAGCACAUAUCUGACAGUUCUGUGCAGAAUUCAACCACUGAGUUUUCUGGAU